UUACCCGCUGAACUUAAGCAUAUCAAUAAGCGGAGGAAAAGAAACUAACAAGGAUUCCCCUAGUAACUGCGAGUGAAGCGGGAAAAGCUCAAAUUUAAAAUCUGGCGGUCUUUGGCCGUCCGAGUUGUAGUCUGGAGAAGUGCUUUCCGCGCUGGACCGUGUAUAAGUCUCUUGGAACAGAGCGUCAUAGAGGGUGAGAAUCCCGUCUUUGACACGGACUACCAGUGCUUUGUGAUGCGCUCUCAAAGAGUCGAGUUGUUUGGGAAUGCAGCUCAAAAUGGGUGGUGAAUUCCAUCUAAAGCUAAAUAUUGGCGAGAGACCGAUAGCGAACAAGUACCGUGAGGGAAAGAUGAAAAGCACUUUGGAAAGAGAGUUAAACAGUACGUGAAAUUGCUGAAAGGGAAACGCUUGAAGUCAGUCGCGUCGGCCGGAACUCAGCCUUGCUUUUGCUUGGUGCACUUUCCGGUUGACGGGCCAGCAUCGAUUUUGACCGUCGGAAAAGGGCUAGAGUAAUGUGGCACCUCCGGGUGUGUUAUAGACUCUAGUCGCAUACGGCGGUUGGGAUCGAGGAACGCAGCGCGCCGCAAGGCAGGGGUUCGCCCACUUUCGCGCUUAGGAUGCUGGCAUAAUGGCUUUAAACGACCCGUCUUGAAACACGGACCAAGGAGUCUAACAUACCUGCGAGUGUUUGGGUGGAAAACCCGAGCGCGUAAUGAAAGUGAAAGUUGGGACCUCUGUCGUGGAGGGCACCGACGCCCGGACCUGACGUUCUCUGACGGAUCCGCGGUAGAGCAUGUAUGUUGGGACCCGAAAGAUGGUGAACUAUGCUCUGAAUAGGGUGAAGCCAGAGGAAACUCUGGUGGAGGCUCGUAGCGAUUCUGACGUGCAAAUCGAUCGUCAAAUUUGGGUAUAGGGGCGAAAGACUAAUUCGAACCCUCUAGUAGUUGGUUCCUGCCGAAGUUUCCCUCAGGAA
rnacentral:rRNA from 1 species